rnacentral:rRNA from 1 species
ACAUGCCUACAACAUAGCAUUAAUGCACUAGAUCACAUUAGAACUCCAUAGUUAAUCACGCUCAGGCUAGAGUAGUAUUGGGAUGGGUGACCACCCGAGAAAUCCUAGUGUUUUACAUGCC